rnacentral:rRNA from 1 species
CAGCCGCCGCGGGAAAACGAAGGGGGCUAGCGUUGUUCGGAAUCACUGGGCGUAAAGGGUGCGUAGGCGGGAUCUUAAGUCAGGGGUGAAAUCCCGAGGCUCAACCUCGGAACUGCCUUUGAUACUGGGGUCCUUGAGUCCGGAAGAGGUGAGUGGAACUGCGAGUGUAGAGGUGAAAUUCGUAGAUAUUCGCAAGAACACCGGUGGCGAAGGCGGCUCACUGGUCCGGAACUGACGCUGAGGCACGACAGCGUGGGGAGCAAACAGGAUUAGAUACCCCAGUAGUCCCUGUCUCUUAUAA